UGUUUUGUAUAAAUCUAAUUACAAUGAGUGACCACCACGUGUCAUCAUCUCAGAACUCAAGUCUUGCUUUUACGAGUGACCACUAUGAGCUGCCCUUGCCUCCCUUCAUUCCAACAUCUUUUUUCCAUCCACUCCCAAAGGUCAAAUUAGAACCUCAAUGCAUUAAUUCACUUGCUUAGAUGAGUUUGCAAUGUGUAAUUGUUUUAUAAGUGUAUAUGUUGCAUUUGUCCUAAUUAAUGUAUUUGUGUUGAAUAAUUUGUAAU
rnacentral:lncRNA from 1 species